rnacentral:rRNA from 1 species
UACGUAGGGUGCAAGCGUUUGUCCGGAAUUAUUGGGCGUAAAGAGCUCGUAGGCGGUCUGUUGCGUCGGCUGUGAAAACCCGAGGCUCAACCUGGGAAUUGCAUUCGAGACUGCAUAGCUAGGGUGCGGAAGAGGGAAGCGGAAUUUCCGGUGUAGCGGUGAAAUGCGUAGAUAUCGAGAGGAACACCUGCGGCGAAGGCGGGUUGCUGGGCUGAUACUGACGCUGAGGCGCGAAAGCCAGGGGAGCGAACGGG